rnacentral:piRNA from 1 species
GUUUGUUGGGUAAAGGAGU